rnacentral:rRNA from 1 species
UAAAUUGUUCAUUAAUUGUGAACUGGAAUGAAGGAAAAAAUAGUUUAAUUCUGUCUUAAAGUUAUUAAUCGAAUUUAAAUUUUUUAUAAAAAUGUAAAAAUAUAACUUAGGGACAAGAAGACCCUACAAAGCUUUUUUUUCUAUAUAUUUGUUUUCUAAUAUAUGAUUAAUUUGAUUGGGGCAAUAAUUUAUUAAUAAUAAAUAUAAAUUUAAUUAAAUAAUAAAAUUUUAAAAUAUUUUUGAUCCAUUAUUAAUGAAAGAUGAUUAAGUUACUUUAGGGAUAACAGGAUAAUUUUUAUUAGAAAGUUCUUAUUAAUAAUAAAGUUUAUUACCUCGAUGUUGAAUUAAUUUAAUUUAAUGGUGAAGUAACUUUUUGAGUUUGACUGUUCGUCAAUUAAAUAAUUACAUGAUCUGAGUUC